rnacentral:rRNA from 1 species
UGUUGGGUUAAGUCCCGCAACGAGCGCAACCCUUGCCAUUAAUUGCCAUCAUUUAGUUGGCACUUUAAUGGGACUGCCGGUGACAAACCGGAGGAAGGUGGGGAUGACGUCAAGUCCUCAUGGCCCUUAUGGCCAGGGCUUUACACACGUAUACAAUGGUCGGUCGAGAGGGAAGCCAACCCGCGAGGGGGAGCCAAUCUCAGAAAGCCGGUCGUAGUCCGGAUUGUUGUCUGCAACUCGACAGCAUGAAGUCGGAAUCGCUAGUAAUCGCGGAUCAGCAUGUCGCGGUGAAUACGUUCCCGGGCCUU